rnacentral:lncRNA from 1 species
CUAGAACGGAAAACACGAAAUGGGUACGAAGAAAUGCGAAAUAAUAUUCUUAAUUUUUCAUUUUAUGUAAAACCCACAAUUUAUUUCAAAUGAAUUGACCUUCUUUGAUGUGAGUUUUUAUAGCUCGUAUUAAAGUGCACGAGUUGAGGCAGAAGAACGAGGCGGAUCUGUUGGCGCAGCUAAGGGAUUUGAAGGCGGAAUUAGCAUUGUUUAGAGUAGCCAAAGCCAUUGUUGGGCAGCCAACAAGCUGUCGAAGAUUAAGGUGGUUAGGCUCUCCAUUGUUCAGGUGUUGACUGUGAAUUCUCAGAAGCUGAAGGCGGCUCUAAGGGAAGCGUACAAGAACAAGAAGUAUUUGCCUCUUGAUCUCCACCCUAAUGUUAUUGUUGCUGGGUUUGUGACUCAAAUUAGAGUGAAUUUUUCUGGAAAUAAAUUGUUUUCUUAUUUUCAUUUUCAUGUGGGAAAAAUUGUUUGAUUUUUAUGGAAACACAUUAUUUUGUUAUUCCACAUUAUUUUUAUCUUUAUGAUAUGUCAUAUACCUAUAAAUAGUAGACUUCUUUUUUAGUUUUGUUCAAGCAAGAAUUGUUGAGUUUUUAUAUUUCACUACAUACUGUCGAUUAAUAAAACGUCUCUUUUUGUUAAUUUCUUUACUUUUAAAUCUUAUUUCUCUUUGCGAUCUUCGUUACUUCAUAUCGCAUCUUUAAUCUCAUUCACUACAAUCUUUUCGAGUCCAACAAGUUAUAUUGGAGUUUGGUUCUUGUUGUGGAUUUGUUGAGGCUUUUCAAAGAUGGCUGCUUUGAAAUGUGAUUUCUGCAAUUAGAUUGAAAUACAAGGUUUUCUUUGUGGCAAGUAAAUAUGAGAGCUAUUUUGGCGCUGUUAAAUUUGAAUGAUGUGUUGUUGGGUUUUGAGAGAAUGCCAGCUAAUUGGACAACGGAGAGAUCAAAAGGCUUUGUCGUUUAUUCAUCUUUAUCUAUCCAACAAUAUUCUGCAGAGUGUCCUGAAGGAGAAAAUAGCAACUGCUUUGUGGUUGAAACUAGAGCAGUUAUGUAUGAUCAAGAGUUUUACCAGUAAACUGGCUCUAAAGCAAAAGCUGUAUUCCCAUCGCAUAGCGGAGGAAGGGUCGUUGGAAGACCAUAUUGCCGUGUUCAAGGAAAUUGUUGCAGAUUUGGAAACGUUGGAGGUUAAGUACAAUGAAAAGAAUCUUGCCUUGAUCAUGUUAUGUUCAUUACUUGCCUUAUAUGCAUUGUUUCGAGAAACCAUUUGUACAAUCGAGAUACUUUGAUUAUAGACGACUUCUAUGAUGCUUUGCACUCAAAUGAAAAGUUGAAGCAUUUAGUUGGAGCUACAUCAAGGAAUGAGGAAGCUCUUGUACUCAUGGUGGUCGACGAAGGGGCAGAUUGAGAGAGAACAACAAUUUGUGUUGCUUCUAUUACCAAAGGAGAGGACACGUAAAGAAGGAUUGUGAUACGUUGCAAGAUAAAGGUAAUUUAGCUACAAAUUAUAGAGGAAAAUUAUGUAAUUCGGAUGUGACUAAUGUUGUCGAGAAUUUUUCGGAAGGUGGAGAUGUUAUGUUGACCGUGGUUUUUGAGAUGGAGUCUAAGUCUGACGAGGAGUGGAUUUUCAAUCAGCAAGUUCGUAUUAUAUGUAUUCCAAUCGAAAUUUGUUUAAGACGUAUGUGACUGUUGAGUAAGGUGGAGUUGUAAUGGGAAACAACCAGUCUUGCCAUAUUACUGGAUCGGUUGAGUCAGAGUAAGGUUGCAGGAUGGAAAGGUCAGAACAAUUAUGUAGGUUCGACAUAUUCCAAAUCUGAAGAGGAAUCUCAUCUCGCUGAGAGCCUUGGAUGAAGGGUAUAAGUUCUCUAGUGAAGGUAGAGUCCUUAGGGUCCAAAGGGGUGUCCAGAUUGUACUUGAGGGACGGAGAAGGUCUCAAUUGUACAUUUUGCAGGGGAGCACAGAGCCAAUUAAGAGACAUUUGGACAAGUUCAGUACCGUGGUGGAUAUACAGUUUGAUAUAGUACCUCUUAUGGCGUGCUUUGAGUUGGUUAAGAACACUACUAGAUGGAGCAUUGAUGAUUCCACUUUGCCACCAAUUUCAGCAAAUACAUUGUAUUCAGUUGUUAGGAUUGGAUUCAUGGAGCGUACACUACUAAAAAGCAGCUUUUCACCAACAAAAAAUUACCAACGAAUUGCAUCUGUUGAUAAUUAAAAUGGAUUAUCCGUUGGUAAAAGUUACUCACUUUUAAUUACGAUAAUUAGCAACGAAUAUUUCAUUGGUAACGAUGAUAUCUUUUUAUCAAUAGAUAUUUCGUGCCUCAUAUAACUAUUUAACAUUUGGAUAUUUCACCAACGGAAUAUUCGUUGGUGAUGUAACGAUUAUUUCCAACGGAUUAUCCAUUGGUAAAAGUAAUUCACUUUCAAUUACAAUAAUUAGCAUUGAUAACGAUAAUAUCUCUUUAUCAAGGGAUAUCUCGUGCCUCAUGUAAUCGUUUAACAUUUGGACAUUUCACCUACGGAUAUUCCGCUGGUGAUUAGAAAUAGAUUAUCCAUUGGUAAAAAUAAUUUACUUAUCCCACAUUGAAAGUUCACAAUAAAGUCUUCGGAGUUGUCCUCUAUAAAUUAAUUUGUGGUCCAAUAAGUGGUUAAAUAAUAUUUUGAUCUUUCAAUUCGGUUGCCUAAAAGUUAAAAAAAUUAGAAUUAUUAAAUAAAUAAUAAUAACAAUAAUAAAUAAAUAAAUAAUUUUUUUUACCAUGCCUCACAUCUAUGUGACUAUUUACACCAUUGAUUUUUACUAAUUGUAGUGGUAGAUAUUUACCAACGGAAAGUCGGUUGGUAUUAGUUGAUAUUUUUACCAACGAAAAUUUCGUUAGUAAAAGAUUCACACUUUACCAUCGAAAAAUUCAUUGGUAAAAUGUUUACUCUUUAUCUACAGCAGGAUUAGUUGGUAACUAUCAGUGACCCUCAAAUUAGCAACGAAUUUGCAUUCCAAAUAUUCCUUUGGUAAAGAGUAAUAGCAACGGAUAUCAAAGUUUUAGAAAGGGAAAAUUCGUGCCUAAAGCCAUAUUUUUUAGUAUGGUAAGUAUGGUGGUGUUAGUAAUGUCUAUAAUGCUUUCGGGUCGUUGAAGGUGACAAUUCUAGUAAGGGACCUUUUGAUCAAGCAUUUGGUAUGGUUUCUGCUAUAGGGUGUGCUUCAACCCUAUUUGGUCAACAGUAAUUCCUUAGUGAAAUUUCGGUAACCUGAGAUUUGGGUUCAGGUAUCACUUGUGGACGCCUUGUAGAGAACAACGAUUUGGUUUGGAGAGUUUUGGUUACUGUGUUGAGGAAAUUGGCUAUUUCGCUACAGAUGAAUUUGAAAUCUUGGAGUUUCGUUCGUUGCAUCGAAAUUUGGGUCAAAGUGGAGAUUGUUGGGUUUGUGACCCAAAUUAGGGUGGAUUUUUUUAGAAAUAAAUUGUUUCCUUAUUUUCAUAUGGAAAAAAAUAUUUUCUUAUCUUUCACGUGAUUUUUAUGGAAACAUAUUAUUUUCUUAUCCCACAUUAAUUUCAUCUUUAUGCUAUGUCAUGUAUCUAUAAACAAUGGUCUUCUCUUUCAAUUUUGUUUAAGCAAGAAUUGUUUAGUUCUUGUAUUUUUCACCAUAUUGUCAAUUAGUAAAACAUCGUGCUUCUGCUAUUAACUCUCUUUGUUAAUUUUUUUUACUUUUAAAUCUUGUUUCUCGUUGUGAUCUUCAUUAAUUCAUAUCGCAUCGUUAAUCUCAUUUACUACAAUCCUUCCGGGUCCAAUAAUGGUUGAAACUCAAUUUCUAUAGAAGUCAACCAAUAACAAGUAGCUAUAAACACAUUCAUUUCCUUAAUUGAUGAUUCUAUUACCAUGCAGGAAAUUACAAGUAAAGGACAUAUAUGAAAGAGAUGAGCUAUAUCAGUUGAGAAGUAGAGACAGAGGAGUGAAGACAAAUUCAGAAAAGAGCUUAGGAAUUGUGACACCUAACCAUGAAGAAGAAAAAAAGAACCAUGGAAGUGGAGGUCAGAAUCAGAGGAAAAAGAGAAGCAGAUUCAGCAAUGAUGGAGGUAAAAAAGAGGGGCAGACAUAGAAAAAGAGGAGAGGAGAAGAAAUUCCAGACCUUGAAGAAAAAGGAUAGAGAGAUAAAGAGAAAGCUGAAAACAAGAUGAGAUAUAGGGAUAUAGAGAGGAAAUAGCAAAAGAAGAGUAGAAACAGUAGAAGAAGAGGAGGAGGAGAAGAAGAAACAGGAGAAACGGACAAGAAGAGGCGGAAACCAGAGGAAGAGGAGACGGAUAGAGGAGAGUUAGCAGCAACAAGACUUGAUUCAAUUCAAUUCAUGCCCUUCAUCAUCUUCCAACAAAAUUAUAUAUAGAACAACCCUUAAAGUAAAGGACUUUGGGCUAGCCCACUAAUAACACAAGCCCAACUAGAUAAAAUAAAAGAUAAAUGGUCCACUUGAGUGAAGUUAGCCAUGACACCCAAGAAGACUCGUGCCAUUCGCAGGUGCCUCACCAAGCAUCAGGUAUCUAGUUAUUAUUAGUUAUUCUGGUGCGCAUUUGUUCAAUUUUUUCUAUAAUGUUGGGUUUCUUGUUUGUUCUUAUGAGUUUUAAGUGUUUAUUGUUAUUAGCUUAUCUGGUGGAGUACAGUUGGCAUUAUAGAUCAUGUGUCAAUAGGAAAUAAACAAUUGAAUAUCCUGAAAAUAACAGGUAUUCUGUAAUGUUUAGUUAGCCUAAACUCACCCUUUUCGGUGUUUAAGUGUUUAUUAUUACCUUAGCUGGUAGAGUAUAUUUGGCAUUGCAAAUCAUGUAGCAAGAGGAAGUCAACGAUUGAAUAUCCCAAAAUUAACAGUUUCUCUAAAAUUUAGUUGGCCUAAACUCGCCCAUUUCUGUCCAUUUGUAUCUUCUCCUCCUUUCUAGUUUGCACUUUAAGUGUUUGUUGUUAUUAGCUUAGCUGGUAGGAAAAUGUAUCUAGCAUUGUAAAUCAUGUGUCAAAAGGAAAUAAACAAUUGAACUGUCUAAAAUUAACAGUUUCGAUCAAAUUAUUGGGAUAAUUGUAGGAGAUUUAGAUGAUGGAUAUUCAAGCAUGAUUACUUAUAUACUGUUUUAUGUCUCCAUGAAUCUAGGAACUUUUGCUUGAAUUUUGUUAUUUGCUCUCUCUCUCUCUCUCUCUCUCUCUUUCAUAUCAUCCUUAGAUCCCAUAGGUUGGAACAUUUACGAUUUGAGUCGUCCUUAUUUAGCCUAUCCUCAUCUUUCUCUGGUUUGCAUUUUGCAGUGUGUGUAGCAACAUAGCAGCUGAA